rnacentral:rRNA from 1 species
UACGUAGGGGGCAAGCGUUGUCCGGAUUCAUUGGGCGUAAAGAGCGUGUAGGCAGCCAGGUAGGUCGGUUGUGAAAACUGGAGGCUCAACCUUCAGAGGUCGACCGAAACCAUCUGGCUAGAGUCCGGGAGAGGAGAGUGGAAUUCCUGGUGUAGCGGUGAAAUGCGCAGAUAUCAGGAAGAACACCCGUGGCGAAAGCGGCUCUCUGGAACGGUACUGACGCUGAGACGCGAAAGCGUGGGGAGCAAACAGG